UACGUAGGGUGCGAGCGUUAAUCGGAAUUACUGGGUGUAAAGCGUGCGCAGGCGGUUAUAUAAGACAGUUGUGAAAUCCCCGGGCUCAACCUGGGAAUUGCAUCUGUGACUGUAUAGCUAGAGUACGGUAGAGGGGGGAUGGAAUUCCGCGUGUAGCAGUGAAAUGCGUAGAUAUGCGGAGGAACACCGAUGGCGAAGGCAUCCCCUGGACCUGUACUGAC
rnacentral:rRNA from 1 species